GACAGAGGGUGCAAACGUUGUUCGGAAUUACUGGGCGUAAAGCGCGUGUAGGCGGCCCUGCAAGUCGGAUGUGAAAUCCCACGGCUCAACCGUGGAAGUGCAUUCGAAACUGCAGGGCUAGAGUCCUGGAGAGGAAGGUGGAAUGCUUGGUGUAGAGGUGAAAUUCGUAGAUAUCAAGCGGAACACCGGUGGCGAAGGCGGCCUUCUGGACAGUGACUGACGCUGAGACACGAAAGCGUGGGUAGCAAACAGG
rnacentral:rRNA from 1 species